rnacentral:rRNA from 1 species
AUUGAACGCUGGCGGCAGGCUUAACACAUGCAAGUCGAACGGUAACAGGAGAAAGCUUGCUUUCUUGCUGACGAGUGGCGGACGGGUGAGUAAUGCUUGGGAAUCUGGCUUAUGGAGGGGGAUAACGACGGGAAACUGUCGCUAAUACCGCGUAGAGUCGAGAGACGAAAGUGCGGGACCGCAAGGCCGCAUGCCAUAGGAUGAGCCCAAGUGGGAUUAGGUAGUUGGUGGGGUAAAGGCCUACCAAGCCGACGAUCUCUAGCUGGUCUGAGAGGAUGACCAGCCACACCGGGACUGAGACACGGCCCGGACUCCUACGGGAGGCAGCAGUGGGGAAUAUUGCGCAAUGGGGGCAACCCUGACGCAGCCAUGCCGCGUGAAUGAAGAAGGCCUUCGGGUUGUAAAGUUCUUUCGGUAUUGAGGAAGGUUGUUGUGUUAAUAGCACGACAAAUUGACGUUAAAUACAGAAGAAGCACCGGCUAACUCCGUGCCAGCAGCCGCGGUAAUACGGAGGGUGCGAGCGUUAAUCGGAAUAACUGGGCGUAAAGGGCACGCAGGCGGACUUUUAAGUGAGGUGUGAAAUCCCCGGGCCUAACCUGGGAAUUGCAUUUCAGACUGGGAGUCUAGAGUACUUUAGGGAGGGGUAGAAUUCCACGUGUAGCGGUGAAAUGCGUAGAGAUGUGGAGGAAUACCGAAGGCGAAGGCAGCCCCUUGGGAAUGUACUGACGCUCAUGUGCGAAAGCGUGGGGAGCAAACAGG